rnacentral:rRNA from 1 species
UACAGAGGUGGCAAGCGUUGUUCGGAAUUACUGGGCGUAAAGGGCGAGUAGGUGGCCAUCUAAGUCAGACGUGAAAUCCCCCGGCUUAACCUGGGAACUGCGUCUGAUACUGGACGGCUGGAGUAUGGGAGAGGGAUGUAGAAUUCCAGGUGUAGCGGUGAAAUGCGCAGAUAUCAGGAGGAACACCGGUGGCGAAGGCGGUUCUCUGGGCAUUACCUGACGCUGAGGGGCGAAAGUGUGGGGAGCGAACAGG